GUUUUCGGUGGAUUAUCCAAAUGAUAACAUCGUGGCCGUUGGUGGAAGCUACGAUCAUAUUUUCACAUAUGAUACAACGCUUAUCACAUCGCUAUACUUCACAACCUCCAGGGGUUUUACCUCUCCAUUAUUCGGUGAGAAGACAGGAACAGAUUUCGAGUUCCAAGGUGAAAAUAAAGGAAAGCUUCUCGGGUUCCAUGGACGUGCUGGGCAUGCUAUUGAUGCCAUCGGAGCUUACUUCCACACUGGUUCACAAGGUGGCCAGGGAGCUGGUUCACAAGGUGGCCAGGGAGCUGGUUCACAAGGUGGCCAGGGAGGUGACCCCGGAAAAGGUGGUCCUAGACCUGUUGUCCCCGGAAAGAUGGGACCCUUAGGUGGUGCCAAGGGAAAUGAAUUCGAUGAUGUUGGUUUUGAUGGUGUGAAGAAAGUAACUGUGGGAGCAGAUGAAUUCAGUGUAACUUAUCUCAAGAUCGAAUACAUAAAGGACGGAAAAGUUGAGAUACGUGAACACGGGACUAAUCGCGGGCAACUAAAAGAGGUAUAAAACAUUGUGAUUAUUUUUUUUACGAUAAUAUUCAUUGGGUUUGCUAAUAAAUUGUUUGAUUUUUAUGGAAAAUAAAAUACAGUUCUCGGUGGAUUAUCCAAAUGAUAACAUCGUGGCCGUUGGUGGAAGCUACAAUCAUAUUUUCACAUAUGAUACAACGCUUAUCACAUCGCUAUACUUCACAACCUCCAGGGGUUUUACCUCUCCAUUAUUCGGUGAGAAGAAGGGAACAGAUUUCGAGUUCCAAGGUGAAAAUAGAGGAAAGCUUCUCGGGUUCCAUGGACGUGCUGGCUAUGCUAUUGAUGCCAUCGGAGCUUACUUCCACACCGGUUCACAAGGCGGUGAGGGAGGUGGUCCUAAACCUGUAGUACCCGUAAAGAUGGGACCCCUAGGUGGUGACAGGGGAAACGAAUUCAACGAUGUUGGUUUCGAUGGUGUGAAGAAAGUAGCUGUGGCAGCUGAUGAAUUCAGUGUAAGAUCGAGUACGUAAAGGAUGGAAAAGUUGAAAUCCGUGAGCACGGGACAAGUCGAGGGCAAGUAAAAGAGGUAUUAAUUAAAUAUUUUGGUGACUUCUGUUAAAUAUUGAAUAUUUUUUGCUACAUAUUUAUUUGUUUCUAAUGAAAAACUUACAUACAGUUUUCGGUGGAUCAUCCAAAUGAUAACUUCACGGCCGUUGGUGGAAGCUACGAUCAUAUUUUCACAUAUGAUACAACACUUAUCACAUCAUUAUACCUCACAACCUCAAGAGGAUUUACCUCUCCUUUAUUCGGUGAGAUGAAGGGAACAGAAUUCGAGUUCAAAGGUGAAAAUGGAGAAAAGCUUAUUGGAUUCCAUGGACGUGCUGGUCAUGCUAUUGAUGCUAUUGGGGCCUACUUCGACACUGGUUCUAAACCGGGCUUUCGGUGGAUUAUCCAAAUGAUAACAUCGUGGCCGUUGGUGGAAGCUACGAUCAUAUUUUCACAUAUGAUACAACGCUUAUCAAAUCGCUAUACUUCACAACCUCCAGGGGGUUUACCUCUCCAUUAUUCGGUGAGAAGACAGGAACAGAUUUCGAGUUCCAAGGUGAAAAUAGAGGAAAGCUUCUCGGGUUCCAUGGACGUGCUGGCUAUGCUAUUGAUGCCAUUGGAGCUUACUUCCACACCGGUUCACAAGGCGGUGAGGGAGGUGACCCCAGCAAAGGUGGUCCUAAACCUGUAGUACCCGUAAAGAUGGGACCCCUAGGUGGUGACAGGGGAAACGAAUUCAACGAUGUUGGUUUCGAUGGUGUGAAGAGAGUAGCUGUGGCAGCUGAUGAAUUCAGUGUAACCUACAUCAAGAUCGAAUACGUAAAGGAUGGAAAAGUUGAAAUCCGUGAGCACGGGACAAGUCGAGGGCAAGUAAAAGAG
rnacentral:lncRNA from 1 species